CCUACGGGUGGCAGCAGUGGGGAAUAUUGGACAAUGGGCGAAAGCCUGAUCCAGCCAUGCCGCGUGUGUGAAGAAGGCCUUCGGGUUGUAAAGCACUUUCAGUGGGGAAGAAAGCCUUGGGGCUAAUACCCUCGAGGAAGGACAUCACCCACAGAAGAAGCACCGGCUACUCCGUGCCAGCAGCCGCGGUAAUACGGAGGGUGCGAGCGUUAAUCGGAAUUACUGGGCGUAAAGCGCGCGUAGGCGGUCUGAUAAGCCGGUUGUGAAAGCCCCGGGCUCAACCUGGGAACGGCAUCCGGAACUGUCAGGCUAGAGUGCAGGAGAGGAAGGUAGAAUUCCCGGUGUAGCGGUGAAAUGCGUAGAGAUCGGGAGGAAUACCAGUGGCGAAGGCGGCCUUCUGGACUGACACUGACGCUGAGGUGCGAAAGCGUGGGUAGCAAACAGGAUUAGAUACCCUUGUAGUC
rnacentral:rRNA from 1 species